ensembl:lncRNA
UUCACACCUCAAACAUUUAGUGAACAAUUAAGCAAAUACAAGUAAUCUGCAGGAAGUAAUAACAUAAACUACUAACUCUGUCACGCUGCGUCCGCACCUACACGGGUGAUUUUGAACACGCAGCUGUUUCGUCCACGUAAACGAUAUUUCGAUUCACCGAAAACAGAUUUUUUAAAACUCCUUUUUUUGCGUUUCCGUGUGGACGAGGAAUACAGAGUUCGUCACGCAGCGUCAAAGGUUUACACGCAGUUACUGUCCCUCCAUUUACAAAGGCAGAGGCGUCACGAUGUGAUUAUUUUACUCCCAGCGCUGCUCCUGAAGAAGGGGAACCUGCAGGGAGACCUACCUCAGCACCUGUGCAGAUGUUUCCCUUGAGGAGUCUCAUUCAUGGCUUUUAACCAGGAGCUCAGUGCAACAUUUACUUUCACCUCAUGUCAACAUGUGAUGGAGUGCCAUACAAAUCUUUCUGAUGAGGUCUUUCAGGUCCUGGACAUGAUACAGUUUAUCUGUUGAAGAUGAAGUUUUUGAGGCCUGUCAAUUCUUUCUCUUCUCUUUUUCUCCAGUUUCCUUCAAAUAUUUUAAGAACACAAUGUCUAUCUUUUUAAAAAAAUAUAGAUUGAAUAAAAGAAAUCCUAACACAUAACUGCAACAGGCUGUUAGUAACAAAAUGCCUGAAGAUGCUAUUUCAAAUCGGUUGUUUGUUUAUUUCUCUUUCAUGUGUAGACACAUCAUCGUGCCCAGGUCAUUUAUUUCUGAGUUGCGCAUGCGUUGAGCCUGUGAGCGCUAUCUACUG